rnacentral:rRNA from 1 species
CGUCAUGUCUAGUAUAGCAUUAUACCGUGAAACUGCGAAUGGCUCAUUAAAUCAGUUAUCGUUUAUUUGAUAGUACCUUACUACUUGGAUAACCGUGGUAAUUCUAGAGCUAAUACAUGCUAAAAACCCCGACUUCGGGAGGGGUGUAUUUAUUAGAUAAAAAACCAACGCCCUUCGGGGCUCCUUGGUGAAUCAUAAUAACUUAACGGAUCGCAUGGCCUUGCGCCGGCGACGGUUCAUUCAAAUUUCUGCCCUAUCAACUUUCGAUUGUAGGGUAUUGGCCUACAAUGGUAUCAACGGGUAACGGGGAAUUAGGGUUCGAUUCCGGAGAGGGAGCCUGAGAAACGGCUACCACAUCCAAGGAAGGCAGCAGGCGCGCAAAUUACCCAAUCCCGACACGGGGAGGUAGUGACAAUAAAUACUGAUACAGGGCUCUUUUGGGUCUUGUAAUUGGAAUGAGUACAAUUUAAAUCCCUUAACGAGGAACAAUUGGAGGGCAAGUCUGGUGCCAGCAGCCGCGGUAAUUCCAGCUCCAAUAGCGUAUAUUAAAGUUGUUGCAGUUAAAAAGCUCGUAGUUGAACCUUGGGUCUGGCUGGCCGGUCCGCCUCACCGCGUGCACUGGUCCGGCCGGACCUUUCCUUCUGGAGAACCGCAUGCCCUUCACUGGGUGUGUCGGGGAACCAGGACUUUUACUUUGAAAAAAUUAGAGUGUUCAAAGCAGGCCUUUGCUCGAAUACAUUAGCAUGGAAUAAUAGAAUAGGACGUGCGGUCCUAUUUUGUUGGUUUCUAGGACCGCCGUAAUGAUUAAUAGGGAUAGUCGGGGGGCAUCAGUAUUCAAUUGUCAGAGGUGAAAUUCUUAGAUUUAUUGAAGACUAACUACUGCGAAAGCAUUUGCCAAGGAUGUUUUCAUUAAUCAGUGAACGAAAGUUAGGGGAUCGAAGACGAUCAGAUACCGUCGUAGUCUUAACCGUAAACUAUGCCGACUAGGGAUCGGCGAUGUUAUUCUUUUGACUCGCUCGGCACCUUACGAGAAAUCAAAGUUUUUGGGUUCUGGGGGGGGAGUAUGGUCGCAAGCUGAACUAGG